CAAGACAUAUGCAACUGUACAUUUAGGAUGCAUUGAGCUGUUUGACAGUCUCUCGGCGUCAGAACAUGACCAUUAGAGGCUGUUCAGGUGGAAACCAAUGCAGAAACACUAAAACAUCGUUUUUGAGCUUUUCAGGCAAUAAGAAAACUAGUUUAAACCACGGCAUAUGCAACUGUACAUUUAGGAUGCAUUGAGAUGUUUGACAGUACUCUGGCAUCAGAACAUGACCAUUAGAGGCUGUUCUGAAAGAAAACCAAUGCAGAAACACUAAAACAUCGUUUUUUAGCUUUUCAGGCCAUAAGAAAACUAGUUUAAACCACGCCAUAUGAAACUAUGCUUUUAGGGUAUAUUGACCUGUUUUAAAGUAUUCUGGCAUCAGAACAUGACCAUUAGAGGCUGUUCUGAAGGACACCAAUGCUUAAACACUAAAACAUAGUUUUUGAGGUUUUCAGGUCAUACGAACACUAGUUUAAACCAAGGCAUUUGAAACUGUGCUUUAUGGCGUAUUGAGCUGUUUUAAAGUUGCCUGGCAUCAGACAUGACCAUCUUAAGCUGUAAUGUUAGAAACCAAUGCAUAAACACUAAAACAUCGUUUUUGAGCUUUUCAGGUCAUAAGAACACUAGUUUAAACCACGGCAUAUGCAACUGUACAUUUAGGAUGCAUUGAGCUGUUUUAAAGUAGCCUGGCAUGAGAACAUGACCAUUACAAACUGUAUAGUUAAAAACCAAUGCACAAACACUAAAACAUCGUUUUGGAGCUUUUCAGGUCAUAAGAACACUAGUUUAAACCACGGCAUAUGCAACUGUACAUUUAGGAUGCCAGAAUACUGUCAAACAGCUCAAUGCAUCCUAAAUGUACAGUUGCAUAUGCCGUGGUUUAAACUAGUUUUCUUAUGGCCUGAAAAGCUCAAAAACGAUGUUUUAGUGUUUCUGCAUUGGUUUAGUGUUUAUGCAUUGGUUUCUAACAUUACAGCUUAAGAUGGUCAUGUUCUGAUGCCAGAAUCCUGUCAAACAGCUUAAUGCAUCCUAAAUGUACAGUUGCAUUUGCUGUGGUUUAAACUAGUGUUCUUAUGAGCUUUUUAGGUCAUAAUCUAAAAAGCUCAAAAAACGAUGUUUUAGUGUUUAUGCAUUGGUUUCUAACAUUACAGCUUAAGAUGGUCAUGUUCUGAUGCCAGGCAUCUUUAAAACAGCUCAAUGCAACCAUAAAAGCACAGUUUCAAAUGCCUUGGUUUAAACUAGUGUUCGUAUGACCUGAAAACCUCAAAAACUAUGUUUUAGUGGUUUAAGCAUUGGUGUCCUUCAGAACAGCCUCUAAUGGUCAUGUUCUGAUGCCAGAGUACUGUCAAACACCUCUUGCAUCCUAAUGUACAGUUGCAUAUGCCGUGGUUUAAACGAGUGUUCUUAUGAACUGAAGAGCUAAAAAACGAUGUUUU
rnacentral:lncRNA from 1 species